GAUGAACGCUGACAGAAUGCUUAACACAUGCAAGUCUACUUGAACUUCGGUUUGGGUGGCGGACGGGUGAGUAACGCGUACAGAACUUGCCUCACAGUUAGGGACAACAUUUGGAAACGAAUGCUAAUACCUGAUAUUAUGAUUUUAGGGCAUCCUAGGAUUAUGAAAGCUAUAUGUGCUGUGAGAGAGCUUUGCGUCCCAUUAGCUAGUUGGAGAGGUAACGGCUCACCAAGGCGAUGAUGGGUAGCCGGCCUGAAAGGGUGAACGGCCACAAGGGGACUGAGACACGGCCAUUACUCCUACGGGAGGCAGCAGUGGGGAAUAUUGGACAAUGGACCAAAAGUCUGAUCCAGCAAUUCUGUGUGCACGAUGACGUUUUUCGGAAUGUAAAGUGCUUUCAGUUGGGAAGAAAAAAAUGACGGUACCAACAGAAGAAGUGACGGCUAAAUACGUG
rnacentral:rRNA from 1 species